rnacentral:tRNA from 1 species
GUCCCAGUGGCGCAAUCGGUUAGCGCGCGGUACUUAUAAUGCCGAGGUUGUGAGUUCGAGCCUCGCCUGGGACA